rnacentral:rRNA from 1 species
CCUACGGGAGGCAGCAGUCGAGAAUCAUUCACAAUGGGGGAAACCCUGAUGGUGCGACGCCGCGUGGGGGAAUGAAGGUCUUCGGAUUGUAAACCCCUGUCAUGUGGGAGCAAAUUAAAAAGAUAGUACCACAAGAGGAAGAGACGGCUAACUCUGUGCCAGCAGCCGCGGUAAUACAGAGGUCUCAAGCGUUGUUCGGAAUCACUGGGCGUAAAGCGUGCGUAAGCUGUUUCGUAAGUCGUGUGUGAAAGGCGCGGCCUCAACCCGCGGACGGCACAUGAUACUGCGAGACUAGAGUAAGGGAGGGGGAACCGGAAUGCUCGGUGUAGCAGUGAAAUGCGUAGAUAUCGAGAGGAACACUCGUGGCGAAGGCGGGUUCCUGGACAUUAACUGACGCUGAGGCACGAAGGCCAGGGGAGCGAAAGGGAUUAGAUACCCUUGUAGUC